GAAGGAUGAAAUAUAUAUAUUCAUCCGUAAGAAAGUACACUGGCUUGGUUCUUAAUUCCAUCUACAACAUGUUUAAAAAAAAAA